AAUUUUGUAAUGUACUAACCU
rnacentral:miRNA from 1 species